CGCGAGGUGGAGCAGUUGGUAGCUCGUCGGGCUCAUAACCCGAAGGUCGUAGGUUCGAGUCCUGCCCUCGCUACAA
rnacentral:tRNA from 1 species